UACAGAGGUCUCAAGCGUUGUCCGGAUUUAUUGGGCGUAAAGAGCUCGUAGGUGGUUCGGUAAGUCGGAUGUGAAAUCUCCAGGCUCAACCUGGAGGGGUCAUUCGAUACUGCCGUGACUAGGAGUUCGGUAGGGGAGUGUGGAAUUCCUGGUGGAGCGGUGAAAUGCGCAGAUAUCAGGAGGAACACCCGUAGCGAAGGCGGCACUCUGGGCCGAUACUGACACUGAGGAGCGAAAGGCGUGGGGAGCGAACAGG
rnacentral:rRNA from 1 species